UACGAAGGGGGCUAGCGUUGUUCGGAAUUACUGGGCGUAAAGCGUGCGUAGGUGGUGAGUUAAGUCUGUCGUGAAAGCCCCGGGCUCAACCUGGGAACUGCACUCGAAACUGCCUUUCUUGAGUGCCGGAGAGGAAAGCGGAAUUCCUGGUGUAGAGGUGAAAUUCGUAGAUAUCGGGAGGAACACCGGUGGCGAAGGCGGCGACCUGGGUGGAUACUGACGCUGAGGCGCGAAAGCGUGGGGAGCAAACAGG
rnacentral:rRNA from 1 species